GGUUCCAUAGUAUAGUGGUUAGCACAUCUGCUUUACAGGCAGAAGGUCCUGGGUUCUCGCCCCAGUGGAGCCA
rnacentral:tRNA from 1 species